GUUGACAACCCUGUGUCCUGUGGUGAAGAUCGUGUCCACUCUAUAUAUUGAGAACCGUUAUGAUUUCAAAGUUUAUACUUGACAUGUAUAUGAACCAACACCAGAGGGUGUGUCAUAAUUUAUGAACGACUGCCUAGGGCAAAGUUCAAGGUCAAAAACUUUGGUUUCAGUUGACAACCCUGUGUCCUGUGGUGAAGAUCGUGUCCGCUCUAUAUCUUGAGAACCGUUAUGAUUUCAAAGUUUAUACUUGACAUGUUAUAUGAACCAACACCAGAGGGUGUGUCAUAAUUUAUGAACGACUGCCUAGGGCAAAGUUCAAGGUCAAAAACUUUGGUUUCAGUUGACAACCCCAUGUCCUAUGGUAAAGAUCGUGUCCGCUCUAUAUCUUGAGAACCGUUAUCAUUUCAAAGUUUAUACUUGACAUGUUUAUAAACCAACACCAAAGGGUGUGUCAUAAUUUAUUUACAACUUCCUAGGUCAAAGGUCAAGGUCAAAAACUUUGAUUUCAGUUGACAAACCCAUGUCCUAUGGUAAAGAUACAAUUUUUUAAUGCACAUUAUUCACAGCGGGGCCCACAGAGAUGGCUCCCAUCUCAAUGAUAUCUAGUUGAUAUUCAUGU
rnacentral:lncRNA from 1 species